CAGCGAAAGACCCUGCCUUCAGGGAGCCGCUGCCUCUGAUGGCACCACCAGGAUUUCCCUAGCUCCUGGGUGGUCAACAAGUAUUUAGUCACUCACCCUGCCACGUGGGAGAUUCUCCUCUUGUGGGGAUAACAGCCUGCCUCCUCAAUGAACUAUAACAACAGCUCUAAAUGCAUCUCCUGUAAUAUACCUCUGUGAUUUGCAAAAGUGGGAAUAAAUCAAAGCCAGGAAGAGAUGCCACGUUAAGCCAGAAGCUAAAUGUUACAUCAUGUAGCGCGAGGCUAAGGGAAGAGAGAACCUGCUUUUUCCUGGCAGCACAGUAUCUUUGUGCUUGUUACCUCCGCCACAGCCCCAUUAAAACAAUCAUUUGGAAUCUGCGGGAAAUUGUCACCUCCUUCUUUCCUGCCAUGGCAGCUGGUACUGGGGGUUGCAGACAAAGCUCAUUCCCUUCAAGGUUCUUAGCACACAUGCGAAAAGGAAAAUGAAGCUUAAUUUGUUAAAAAAAGAAAAAAAAAAGUGUCAGCUUACCCUCAG
ensembl:lncRNA